GACAGGGAUGCCUGAGCACAAGUGGCCGAGUUCUGAGUGACUUUGGGAAAUGCUUCUUCCCUUUCCUGGGCAUGCAAACAAGACUGCACCUGCACCGCAGUUUGUCUGGAGAGAAGCUUCUGCCUCGCAUGCAGGGACGAGGGACUAGAGCAAGAAGCAGCAUUUGAAAAUUGUUCUGGACUCAAGGACCAAAAAAACCCCAUGAAGGAGAAUGAAGGCACCAGCGUCUACAUGCUCAAUGGCAGUCCAGUAGGAACCUCAGCAGCGCGCAUGCCCCUGAGGAGCUUAAAAGAGACAUCAAUCGUCUUCAGAAGUACCUGUCUAGAAAGAACUCUUCCUGCCUGUCAAUCACCACCACCUACCAGCCAGGAAUGAUACCCCGACAGAAACAGACAUGGACAUUUACAAGGCGUCUUGAGACCACCAACUCCAGUCAUUCUGGAAUCUUCUUCAUCAUAUUUCUUCAUCAUAUUUCACAGAGGGCAUGCAUGUGCACGCUUUAGAAGGGGAGGAGGAAGUAAUGUUUCCUACUACAAGUGUGACAUUUCUUCUUGCAUUUUGAAAAGAGUUGUAUUCACAGCCAAAAAGAAAACUACUGUAUAAGUGUGCUUGUGUGUAUAUUCCUACCCCAGACCCCUAAGACAAUUUCCUGCUGAAUAAAAAGUAUGGAUGAAAUGUGCGUGGAAGCACCAACUCCUUCCCUCUCAUUUGUCAGAUCAA